AUGUACUUUAAUUCAUUUGACUUCACGGCAGUGCUGGAGAUGGCUACUUUCCAUAUAGGCAUCUUCCAGGUCCCUGCUCGCCCACCGCCCGAGAUCCGCGAGCUACGAGCCGACGAGUUCCACCAUCCCAUUAGGAGGAAAGCUGCUGUUCAGUCCAUGAAGACGUGUACCGCAGGAGUAAGAGGCACUCCCAAAGAGUUUCAGCGCCCACUUGGACUUCCACAACCAGAGAUGACAGCAAAGGUGGCGUCCUGGAAAGCCGCUGAGCCUUGGUCUUUUCAUCCAGUCUAUGCAAGAAGGUCCGGGCAGCAUCCAGCAGCCCGCCCCAGAGAACACCAAGCUUGGCCUGCCGAGGAGGAGGAGGAGGCGGCGGAGUCCGAGUCAGACGGGGGUGUGGAGUGCGACCUGAGCAACAUGGAGAUCACAGAGGAGCUGCGCCAGUACUUCGCCCAGACCGAGGCGCACCGGGAAGAGCGACGGCGGCAGCAGCAGCUGGACGCCCAGCGCCUGGACGACUACGUGAACGCCGACCACGACCUGUACUACAGCACCCACCGCUCAGUGCAACCCCCCUCCGAGAGGCCCGGCGAGCGGCGCCAGGCCGAGAUGAAGCGCUUGUAUGGGGACAGCGCCGCGAAGAUCCAGGCCAUGGAGGCCGCCGUGCAGCUGAGCUUCGACAAGCACUGUGACAGGAAGCAGCCCAAGUACUGGCCGGUCAUCCCGCUUAAGUUCUGAGCCCGGGGCGCCACGUACCCAGCCAUCACCCCCUUCCUUUUGGAUUCACUGAAUCUCUCCUGUGCAUCUUCUCAGGGAAAUUUCUCUUAUACUGAGAAAUCAGCAUGUCACCAAAGUCCCAGGGGGCCCGUCUCAGGGCUGGAUGUAACAUGUUGGCCACUUGAAGUCAGCAAGGUGUGUGCUGUUGCCAACAUGAAAGAUUUUCUGUUGAUCCGAAAUGAUAAUUUCAUGUAUCUCAUGCUUUCAUGUAUAUCACUGAUACUCUCCAGUUCAUUAAAGUCCUCACUUAGAGA